rfam:Triticum aestivum genome assembly, contig: Triticum_aestivum_CS42_TGACv1_scaffold_328776_4BS
AUACUCCCUCCGUCCGGAAAUAUUUAUCAUCAAAAUUAAUAAAAAAGGAUAUAUCUAGACGUAUUUUAUUUCUAGAUACAUCCCUUUCUAUUCAUUUUGUUGACAAGUAUUUUCGGACGGACUCCAGGAUCAA